CAGUAGCCACGGGAAUACGUAGGGUGCAAGCGUUAAUCGGAAUUACUGGGCGUAAAGCGUGCGCAGGCGGUCGUGUAAGUUAGAGGUGAAAGCCUGGGGCUCAACUCCAGAAUUGCCUUUAAGACUGCAUCGCUUGAACGUCGGAGAGGUGAGUGGAAUUCCGAGUGUAGAGGUGAAAUUCGUAGAUAUGCGGAGGAACACCGAUGGCGAAGGCAAUCCCCUGGACCUGUACUGACGCUCAUGCACGAAAGCGUGGGGAGCAAACAGGAUUAGAUACCCCUGUAGUCCCUGUCUCUUAUAC
rnacentral:rRNA from 1 species